rnacentral:lncRNA from 1 species
GACCCUCCCCCUUGUCUGCGGCUCUUUCUCAGAGCUCCCAAGCCCUCUCUCUUGCUGGAGCCAGGUCCAAGCCAAGCAGGUGGGGAUUGCAACCUGGCUCUGGCACCAGCAGCGUGUGUGAGACCUUGAGGCGCCACAGGCUGGAGGAGCGCCCAGGAGAAGAGACAGCGGCCAGCCGAGCAGACACAGGACUGGCAAUGUUAGAUGAUGCUGCCUAGUCCAGAAACUUGAUCGGUGACAGGAGGAGCCAAUUUGAGAUCCUCAACUUGACUACAGAUCAUUC